rnacentral:rRNA from 1 species
GAGUUUGAUCGUGGCUCAGGACGAACGCUGGCGGCGUGCCUAAUACAUGCAAGUCGAGCGAAUCACCGGGAGCUUGCUCUCGGCGAUUAGCGGCGGACGGGUGAGUAACACGUGGGCAACCUGCCUGUAAGACUGGGAUAACUUCGGGAAACCGGAGCUAAUACCGGAUCAAUCUUUUCCUCGCAUGAGGAAAAGCUAAAAGACGGUUUCGGCUGUCACUUACAGAUGGGCCCACGGCGCAUUAGCUAGUUGGUGAGGUAACGGCUCACCAAGGCGACGAUGCGUAGCCGACUUGAGAGGGUGAUCGGCCACACUGGGACUGAGACACGGCCCAGACUCCUACGGGAGGCAGCAGUAGGGAAUCUUCCGCAAUGGACGAAAGUCUGACGGAGCAACGCCGCGUGAGUGAUGAAGGCCUUCGGUCGUAAACUACUGUUGUUAGGGUAAGAACAAGUAUCGGAGUAACUAGCCGGUACCUUCGACGGUACCUAACCACGAAAGACCACGGCUAACUACGUGCCAGCAGCCG